rnacentral:rRNA from 1 species
UGGCGGACGGGUGAGUAACGCGUGGGUAACCUGCCUCAUACAGGGGGAUAACAGUUAGAAAUGACUGCUAAUACCGCAUAAGCGCACAGUGCUGCAUGGCACAGUGUGAAAAACUCCGGUGGUAUGAGAUGGACCCGCGUCUGAUUAGCUAGUUGGUGGGGUAACGGCCUACCAAGGCGACGAUCAGUAGCCGGCCUGAGAGGGUGAACGGCCACAUUGGGACUGAGACACGGCCCAAACUCCUACGGGAGGCAGCAGUGGGGAAUAUUGCACAAUGGGGGAAACCCUGAUGCAGCGACGCCGCGUGAGCGAAGAAGUAUUUCGGUAUGUAAAGCUCUAUCAGCAGGGAAGAAAAUGACGGUACCUGACUAAGAAGCACCGGCUAAAUACGUGCCAGCAGCCGCGGUAAUACGUAUGGUGCAAGCGUUAUCCGGAUUUACUGGGUGUAAAGGGAGCGUA